UGCGUAGGCAGCAAGCGUUGUUCGGAAUUACUGGGCGUAAAGAGUGUGUAGGCGGUGCUCUAAGUUCGGUGUGAAAUCUCCCGGCUUAACUGGGAGGGUGCGCCGGAAACUGGAGUGCUUGAGCGCGGGAGAGGAAAGCGGAAUUCCUGGUGUAGCGGCGAAAUGCGUAGAUAUCAGGAGGAACACCUGUGGUGUAGACGGCUUUCUGGACCGUAGCUGACGCUGAGACACGAAAGCGUGGGUAGCAAACAGG
rnacentral:rRNA from 1 species